CAGGCUGCAACUCGCCUGCACGAAGUCGGAAUUGCUAGUAAUCGUAGGUCAGCAUACUACGGUGAAUACGUUCCCGGGCCUUGUACACACCGCCCGUCAAACCAUGAGAGUUGGCAACACCCGAAGUCGGUAGUCUAACCGCAAGGAGGACGCCGCCGAAGGUGGGGUUGAUGAUUAGGGUUAAGUCGUAACAAGGUAAC
rnacentral:rRNA from 1 species